AGGGGAGGCCCUACCAUGCAGUCGUACGCUGUAGCAUACAGAGUGGCAGACGGGUGAGUAACGCGUGGGAACCUUCCCAGAGGUGCGGAGUAGCCCAGGGAAACUUGGGGUAAUACCGCAUAAGCCCUUAGGGGGAAAGAUUUAUCGCCAUUGGAUGGGCCCGCGUCGGAUUUGCUAGUUAGUGAGGUAAUGGCUCACCAAGGCAACGAUCCGUAGCUGGUUUGAGAGAAUGACCAGCCACACUGGGACUGAGACACGGCCCAGACUCCUACGGGGGGCAGCAGUGGGGAAUAUUGGACAAUGGGCGAAAGCCUGAUCCAGCCAUGCCGCGUGAGUGACGAAGGCCUUAGGGUUGUAAAGCUCUUUUGGCGGGGACGAUAAUGACGGUACCCGCAGAAUAAGUCCCGGCUAACUUCGUGCCAGCAGCCGCGGUAAUACGAAGGGGACUAGCGUUGUUCGGAAUUACUGGGGCGUAAAGCGCACGUAGGCGGAUGUGUUAGUCAGGGCGUGAAAUCCCGGGGCUCAACCUCGGAACUGCCUUUGAUACUGCAAUCUCGAGUCCAGAAGAGGGUGGGUGGAAUUCCUAGUGUAGAUGUGAUAAUUCUUAGAUUAUUAUGCAACGACAUCGGGUGGCGGAAAGGCACCUGGCUAAGCCGUCCCGGACGAUCAUGCUCUUACCAGUGAGGAUCAAACAGGCAUGCAUAUCCUGAUAGUGCGCAACGUAAACGAUGGCAGUCGCUGUGGGCGAAAUCCGUUCCCCGGCUACGGAAAACCAUUAAGUGAGCCACCGGAGGAGUACGAUCGCAAGAUUGAAACUCAAACGACCUGACUUUUCCCAGCAAUGGGCAUUUUGCGAGGUGCUGCAUGGUUGCCGUCAGCUCGUGCCGUGAGGUGUCGGGUUAAGUCCCAUAACGAGCGCAACCCCUAUUGUUAGUUGCCAGCGGGUAAUGCCGGGAUCUCUAACGAAACUGCCGGUGUAAACCGGAGGAAGGUGGGGAUGACGUCAAAUCAGCACGGCCCUUAUGUCCAGGGCUACACACGUGUUACAAUGGCCGAUACAAUGGGCAGCCACCUGGUGACAGGGAGCUAAUCCUGAAAGUCGGUCUCAGUUCGGAUCGAAGUCUGCAACCCGACUUCGUGAAGCUGGAUUCGCUAGUAAUCGCAGAUCAGCCAUGCUGCGGUGAAUACGUUCCCGGGCCUUGUACACCCCGCCCAUCGAGCCAUGGGAGUCGGGAGUACCUAAAGUACGAACCGCAGGAACGUCCCAAAGGGGAAAAGCCGAGGGGCCCCGCACAAGCGGAGGAACAUGUGGUUUAAUUCUAUGAUACGCGAGGACCCUUACCUGGGCUAGAACGCAGAAUGACAGAUGCCGAAAGGUG
rnacentral:rRNA from 1 species